GGGCGAUUAGUUAAGUGGUAUAACUGCGGCCUCCAAAUCUGCUAUCCGAGGUUCGAUUCCUCGAUCGCCCG
rnacentral:tRNA from 1 species